UUCAAUUUUCAAUUUGGCUAAUCUCCAGUUUGGCCCAAAGUUGAGAUAAGUAGAUACUUCUUAUUUUGGAUAUUUGGUAUCAGAUUUUUCUAAUCUCUCCGGCCUGGCUUAUUUGUCAAAUUAAUUAGUUGCUCCAGCUUGUAAGCAAUCUGUUGAAUUCAAUUUUCCAAUUGGCUGAUUAUAGCCUGGCUCGCGAAAAGAAGAGGGGUCGACUCAAAUAGGCUAUGCUCCAGCCUGGCUAGCAAGAAGAGGAAAAUGAGAUGUCUUCUUUUGUUCCUCCGUCUGGUCCCAAUGAAGGAAAAAAAAGUGUAUGACAGCUUGAUGAUAGUUUGUAGUAUAUGUGAAUCAGGUUGAAUUCGUUUGCAAUCAUGAAUUUUGGUGAUUUAUUAGCUUGAAGAUUUUCAGAGAAAAAUUGAUCUGUAUCCAUUUUUCAACCUGGAUCGCAGUGUUUCCCUAGGUUGGAUUUAUUCCAAAAUGACAAGCUGGGUAGGCAUUUCACCAACCUGGACCGUAGGAAUUUUUAUUUUCACCACUUGGGAUUUUCUCUGACCCCUUUCGAUGAGCACAUAUUUACAGAUUGAUUUUACAGGCUGGCUGUGAAUUCACUCCUUUAUUUGAGCUCAUAUUCAAUUGGUACCUUUUACAGGCUGGUAUCAAAUUUGGAUGCAUUUGUACGAAAUACAUACACAUAUAUAUAUUUGAGGAAAGUGGAAUGUGGCUUUACACGUCUACAGGCUGGUUAUGAGUCUUAUGACUACUCGAAUUUAUAUGUUAGACGCAUUGGGAGACGGAAACCCCUAUUUCUCAUGUUUGUUCGAAAAAAUAGGAGGGGAAUUAAUUCUUUUCAGCCUGAUUAGAGAAAAGUGGAGGGAAUUAAUUUUUUCCUUGGUUAUUUCGUCUGGCUCAAAGGAAGAAAAGAAAAGGAGAGAGAGUUCCGCUUGUCCACUUUGUCUAAUUCACUUUAUCUCUCUUCUCCUCCUUUCCGUCGAGCAGGUCCCGGUAAACCUGUUAACUGGCUGUCUAAUGACCGAAAGGCACAGCUGGUUUUCUAGUUUUGGCAGUAGGAAGGAAAGUCGGCGGCGUCUAGGGUUUUCAGGCGCGGCUUCGUGGCUGCGGCCGUUGGGUGAGAAUCAGCCAGGAGGUGGCGCCUUUUGCCGGAUAUUUGAAGAAGGUGAAGUUUGGUGGCCGGAUCUCUGCGUGUUUGAGAGCGAUUCGAGCAAUGGAGAGGAGGGGAGUGAGAGAGGGCAGCGGUGGCUGCGAUUUAGGGCCUAGGGCUCCCAGAUGGCGUCGCGGUGGUCGCGCGAAUUAGGGAUCCGGGGUUCAGAGAGGUGUCAUCGCUCAAUAGACGCUGAUGGUGACUGAGGUUGAAAGGAGAGUCGAGAGAGAGAGAGGUGAGAUCGAGCGGCGAUUUCGCCGGAGGUCGAAACUGGAAGGGGUGGCUCCCUCUCUCUCUUCGAGUAUUAUCCCAACUCGAUGUGGCUCGGUUCUUCAUGGGAUUUUGUCGGAGUAUUUAGAGCAGUUAGAGAAGAGAGGAAUGGGGGCAGCGUUGGAGGGCGUCAGCCGCUGCUUGAUUCGAGAAGACGGGGCGGCGCGCGCCUGUGAGGGAAAAGAGAGAAGAGGAGCCGAGGGAUGAAGGGGGCUCUUGGCCGCCAGAGGACAGAGGGAGCGGUGUCGGUUCUUCUAGUUGUUGCCCUGAACGGACGGUGGCAGCCCGAGGCGAGAUGCGCGGCGGCGACGUGGUGUCUCCGGCGACCGCUGCUAUUUUAUGAGAUGAGAGAGACGAGUUGGGAAAGUCGCAUCUGGUAGCUCUCUGAGCUUUGAUUGUUGUUGUUGGUGGAUGGAGAGGCGGCUGUUGAUUUGUGAGAUGAGGGGGACGAGUUGGGGAGUCCAAUUCAGUGGCUUUUCGCCAGAAACUGGAAAGAGGUGAUUUGGAGGGUUACAUUAUAUAGAGGGCGGUGCUGCCGCUUGAGAGGUGCUCGGCAGUUGGCUGGGCGGAUUUGCGGCUGCUAGAUUCUGGAGGCGGCGAUGCCGCUUGUGCGUCUGUGUGUGCUGCGUCCCUAGCCAAUAAGGGGAGGGGGAGAAUCGACUCCGACGGCUAUUAGUCGGAAUUUCAGCAGCAGCGGCGGCUAAGCACAUUUUUGCUGAUUUUCAUUUUUCUUUAAUGUUUAGUCUUUUGAAAAUUAUGAUGUCCGUAAAAAUUACAUUGACAGCUGUGGAGCGGCUGAAUUGGCUAUGUUGAGAGUAGAGUUGCAGUUAUUUUCCCUUUUUGGUUGUAAUACAGUACAGUAUAGCAAAGUAAAGCAAUUCCAGUAACUUCAUCUGCAAAAUAAUAACAACAACUAAUAUCUUAUUCUUCA